GCGAUCCUCUAUUCUCCACUCCAAUUUGUUCCUUGAAAUCCUCAAACAGACCAGGGAUAGUGACCCGCAAUUCGGUCGACCGAAAGGCUUUCCAGAUAAUCGAAGCAUGUCAGAUCUCUAAAGCUCGCAACUUACAGUCUUUCGAAAUCAAGGCUACUAAUGAUAAUAAUCAAAGCACCACCAAAGCAAAGAGCAUCGUUUGUUCUAACUGUGAAGGAAU